UACGGAGGGUGCGAGCGUUGUCCGGAAUCACUGGGCGUAAAGGGCGCGUAGGCGGCCUGGUAAGUAGGGGGUGAAAUCCUGCGGCUUAACCGCAGGGCUGCCUUCUAAACUGUCAGGCUCGAGCACGGUAGAGGCAGAUGGAAUUCCCGGUGUAGCGGUGGAAUGCGUAGAUAUCGGGGGGAAUACCAGUGGCGAAAGCGGCACCCUAGCGUUAGCCUGACGCUCAUGUGCGAAAGCGUGGGGAGCGAACGGG
rnacentral:rRNA from 1 species